UACCGAUUGAAUGUUUCGGUGAAGAUUCCGGACCGUGGCUCGUGCGCUUCACGGCGCUCUUGCCGUGGGAAGUUAUCUAAACCUCAACAUUUAGAGGAAGGUGAAGUCGUAACAAGGUUUCCGUAGGUGAACCUGCGGAAGGAUCAUUA
rnacentral:rRNA from 2 species